UACGGAGGAUGCGAGCGUUAUCCGGAUUUAUUGGGUUUAAAGGGUGCGCAGGCGGCGCUUCAAGCCGGCGGUCAAAGUUCGGGGCUCAACCCCGUCGAGCCGUCGGUACUGUUGUGCUGGAGUGCGUCCGAGGGCGGCGGAAUGCGCGGUGUAGCGGUGAAAUGCAUAGAUAUCACGCAGAACUCCGAUUGCGAAGGCAGCCGCCCGGGGCGCCACUGACGCUGAGGCACGAAAGCGUGGGUAUCGAACA
rnacentral:rRNA from 1 species